rnacentral:rRNA from 1 species
UACAGAGGUCUCAAGCGUUGUUCGGAUUCAUUGGGCGUAAAGGGUGCGUAGGCGGCGCGGUAAGUCGGGUGUGAAAUCUCGGAGCUUAACUCCGAAACUGCAUUCGAUACUAUUCGGCUUGAGGUCUGGAGGGGGGACUGGAAUUCUCGGUAUAGCAGUGAAAUGCGUAGAUAUCGAGAGGAACACCAGUGGCGAAGGCGAGUCCCUGGACAGGUCCUGACGCUGAGGCACGAAAGCUAGGGGAGCAAACAGG